rfam:Triticum urartu cultivar G1812 contig712232, whole genome shotgun sequence.
AUUAUACUCCCUCCGUCCGAAAAUACUUGUCAUCAAAAUGGACAAAAAUGGAUGUAUCUAAAACGAAAAUACAUCUAGAUUCAUCCCUUUUAUCCAUUUUGAUGACAAGUAUUUCCAGACGGAGGGAGUAUAUA